GUGCUCGCUUCGGCAGCACAUAUACUAAAAUUGGAACGAUACAGAGAAGAUCAGCAUGGUCCCUGGGCCAGAAUGACAUGCAAAUUCAUGAAGCGUUCCAUAUUUGU
ensembl:snRNA U6 U6 spliceosomal RNA